CUCGGAAUGGCGCUAGACGUUGUGAACGGGCUCCGUGUGCCAAAAAUAGGCCGCGGGCACAGCUGUGUCCAAAAAUAACCGCCCGAAGGCCGGGGCGCCAAGUUCGUCCAGCGGAAAAAGGCCACAAAAACGGGUGGGCUAUAGCCUUGGCGUGUGGGGCUGGCCAACUUCGUCCGCCGGACCCGGAAUGGCGCGAGACUUCGCGAGCGGCCUCCGUGUGCCAAAAAUAGGCCGCGGGCACAGCCGCGGCCAAAAAUAACCGCCCAAAGGCCGGGGCGCCACAUUCGUCCAGCGCAAAAAAGG
rnacentral:lncRNA from 1 species